rnacentral:snRNA from 1 species
GUGCUUGCUUCGGCAGCACAUAUACUAAAAUUGGAACGAUAUAGAGAAGAUUAACAUGGCCCCUGCGCAAGGAUGACACGCAAAUUCGUGAAGUGUUCCAUAUAAAA